rnacentral:tRNA from 1 species
CCCUGUGGCUCAGUUGGUAGAGCAUGGUGUUUGCAACGCCAGGGUUGUGGGUUCGAUUCCAACGAGGG